rnacentral:rRNA from 1 species
UACAGAGGUGGCAAGCGUUGUUCGGAAUUACUGGGCGUAAAGGGCGCGUAGGCGGCCGCCUAAGUCAGACGUGAAAUCCCCAGGCUUAACUUGGGAACUGCGUCUGAUACUGGGUGGCUUGAGUUCGGGAGAGGAAUGUGGAAUUCCAGGUGUAGCGGUGAAAUGCGUAGAUAUCUGGAGGAACACCGGUGGCGAAGGCGGCAUUCUGGACCGAAACUGACGCUGAGGCGCGAAAGCCAGGGGAGCAAACGGGAUUAGAAACCCCCGUAGUCC